GUGGCUACAAUGGCCGGUACAGACGGACGCAAAGCCGCGAGGUGGAGCAAUCCUAAAAAGCCGGUCUCAGUUCGGAAUUGCAGGCUGCAAUUCGCCUGCAUGAAGUCGGAAUCGCUAGUAAUCGCAGGUCAGCAUACUGCGGUGAAUACGUUCCCGGGCCUU
rnacentral:rRNA from 1 species